CCUACGGGAGGCAGCAGUGGGGAAUAUUGGGCAAUGGAGGCAACUCUGACCCAGCAAUGCCGCGUGAAUGAAGAAGGUCUUCGGAUUGUAAAGUUCUUUAAUCAGGGACGAAGAAGAUGACGGUACCUGAGGAAUAAGCCACGGCAAACUAUGUGCCAGCAGCCGCGGUAAUACGGAGGAUGCGAGCGUUAUCCGGAUUUAUUGGGUUUAAAGGGUGCGCAGGCGGAAGAUCAAGUCAGCGGUAACAUUGAGAGGUUCACCCUCUUCGAGCCGUUGAAACUGGUUUUCUUGAGUGAGCGAGAAGUAUGCGGAAUGCGUGGUGUAGCGGUGAAAUGCAUAGAUAUCACGAAGAACUCCGAUUGCGAAGGCAGCAUACCGGCGCUCAACUGACGCUCAUGCACGAAAGUGUGGGUAUCGAACAGGAUUAGAUACCCUAGUAGUC
rnacentral:rRNA from 1 species